ensembl:misc_RNA 7SK 7SK RNA
GGAUGUAGGGCAGUCUGGUUGUGGCAGCUGAUUACCAGAGUUGAUUUGGCUGAUCCGGCGGUCGGGCUGGGUGGGUGUCCCCUUCCUCCCUCACCACUCUGUGUGUGUCCUGCCCAAAGCUUCAAGCUGAGUCUAAAAGGACAGCCACCCCCAGUAGUGGAGAAUCAUUGCCUCAGUCAAGGGCAGUAUAUGAGUAGCUGCACUCCUCUGCUAGAACCUUACAAGGUCCAAAAAUACGGGUUAAAUCUCUGUUCAGCUCUGCAUGUAGGCAUGGUAAUCACUUACGGGGUGUCUAUAACGAAAGUUUGUUAUCCUAUUU